rnacentral:rRNA from 1 species
AACGAACGCUGGCGGCAUGCCUAACACAUGCAAGUCGAACGAGACCUCCGUGUCUUUUUGCGCACGUGUGCGUACCGCCUGGUAACUUGCCCGUAGGUUCGGAAUAACUCCCCGUAAGGGGUGCUAAUACCGGUUAAUGUCUUCGCACCAAAGAUCUUUCGCCAUUGGGUGGGCCCGCGUUGGAUUGGCCAGUUGGUAGGGUAAAAGCCUACCAAGGCGUGGAUCCAUAGCUGGUCUGAGAGGAUGACCAGCCACAAUGGGACUGAGACACGGACCAGAAUGGGACGGAGGGCAGGAGAGGGGAAUAUUGGGGGAGGGGGGCUAGCGUGAUCAAGCCAUGCCGGGUAAGUGAUGAAGGCCGUAGGGUUGUACAGCUCUUUUACACGGGAUGAGAAUGACAGUACCGGGAGAAUAAGCUCCGGCUAACUACGUG